rnacentral:rRNA from 1 species
UACGUAGGGUGCGAGCGUUGUCCGGAAUUAUUGGGCGUAAAGAGCUUGUAGGCGGUCUGUCGCGUCUGCUGUGAAAAUCCGGGGCUCAACCCCGGACUUGCAGUGGGUACGGGCAGACUAGAGUGUGGUAGGGGAGACUGGAAUUCCUGGUGUAGCGGUGAAAUGCGCAGAUAUCAGGAGGAACACCAAUAGCGAAGGCAGCUCGCUGGGACGGUACUGACGCUAAGGCGCGAAAGCGUGAGGAGCGAACAGG